UUUACAAGUAUUUAUUGCUCUUACUGUUUCAGUCUUAGCUCCAUGGCCAUUUGUAAAGGGUUCUCUGCCGGGCUGUCUCCCAGGCAUAGUCUAGAAAGGUGGCUUAGUUGUGAACCCUGAGCCUAAAGCACUGGGGAGGAGGAAAGAAGGGGGAAUGAAUGGCAAAUAAGCUAUAAUUAAGUCCCUAUGGGCCACACAACCAAGAUUCACAUUAACACUGCUAAUUGUGAAAUGGCGCUGAACAGAAAGAACCCCAGCCCAGCUAGGAGGUUCUCUCUGCCUUUCACCCAAAAUCGAAUUUACCAAGAGUUCUGUGAUAGUGUGGGUUUUCAAUACUAGUCAGCUGAAAGAAAUUUAUUAGGGUGAUGCCAAAAUGAUGCUUCCCUCAGUCAUCGUCAGGAAGAACUUGUCUUCUGAAAUUACUACUGGAGGGAAAGUUUCAUUCCUCCUUAAUCUCUUAAGAGAGCAAAAUGUAAUUCCAGGCUGCAGCCCAGGGUUCCAUAAGAAGAAAAAGAAAUCAGCUGAAGUAUAAAUUGAAGAAAAGAAGAAAGUAAAAUAAGAAAAGAAAUGGAAAAUUGGUGAUGAUUUGACAAUCAAGUAAAAACACUUGGUUGGCUACAUUGUUAAUUUUGUGAACUUUAUAACAACCUUUGCCCACAUGGGCAGCUUCCCUGCUGAUUCAGUAUGCUCAAUUUGCUGCUCUCUAUUCUUUUUGGUUGUUGUUGUUAUUUUGCUAUUCCCUUGUGUUCCAUUGUUGUUAUUGUUGUUGUUGUUUCUUAAGAAAGGGCAUAACUCAAUGGAUCCAUUUGUGGGAUUUUUUAAUUGGGUCCAUUGCUUCUGCCAUGAAAAGGAGAGGGAACGCUGGCAUUUUUUAUCAGAAUCCUGGUGCACCUUUAUUGAAGGUGAAAGCUAUUUUCUAAAAAGGUCUUCCCCUUAAUGACCCUAGAACGUAAAUUAGAAAACAUGGCUACAGUUGGUGUUUCUUGAUCGGGUCCAUUCUUCUUGCCCAGAGGCUGUAAAUGCUACCUAGCAUUGUUCAAUUAGAUACCACCUUUUUCCUUAGAAAUUGAAUAUUUUUGUGCAGAUUUCACUUUAAACUGCCUACCGACGUGGAUGCCUGUACCUGACUGUACCCUAAUAUGAUAAAUGUGCUGAACUCACGAUGGGAACAACCAUUUGUUGCAUUUGCCUUUGACUGUAUCUUUGCACCAAUAGCUGACCUGCAAUUGGGACAAGAAAUUUGAGAUGGAGCGUGGCAGCCAGCCCAACCAUAACUGCAAUGGGGAAAAUCUGAAGGAUCAGAGACAGGAAAAGGAUGGCAGCUGCACUGUCUCAUAGGAUGUGCAUUGGGAUUCCCUCCACUGAAAUGCACUUGAAGGACACUGAAACUGAAUAUAUUUGGACUCCAAUCUUCUUAGAGUUGGCAGCUAUGGAAUGUUAUUUAUAAAGACCCGUUAACUUACCACUGCUUUAGAAAAAUAUUAAGCUUUGCAUUGCAUAUGUAUAGUUGGGCAUGCAUUCAUAUGUGCAGGUAUUUAUUUCAUAAGAAGUUAAUGAAAGUAUAAAUGGGAAAAUAAAUGACAUGUAGAAUACAGAAAAAGACAAAAGAAAAGGCAUGUGCCUAAAAAAAAGGAAAAGAAAAACCUGCAUAUUUGUCUAUUUCUCUUCUUUUGCCACAAAAAAAAUUGUACCUAAGUGCCAGUGUUUGAUGUCCUCUUGAUUACUGAAUCCUGGAAGAUGUACUUUGAAAGACUUGGAUGUUAAUCUGAAACUAAUUCAGGCCUUUUGAGUUCAAAAAUUGGAUUGGAAAUCUUUUAAGAGCGGGCUUUCCCAUAAGAUUUCCAUUACUUCUAUUCUUACUGAUAAGCCCCAGGUAUCAGAGAAGCAUCCAUUUAUGUGCUAUCUUUGGAUCCUUCACUACAAGAGAAGAUGUACAGGGAGAAAAAAGACAGGGUUUGCUUUGAAUCAAGUUUCAGAGGAAAGUUCCCAUCAAUUCGAAUUUUGUCUGAAGCCACUCUACAAUAAUAGCUUAAAGUCUUUAUUAGAUACUGGUACGAUGCUACCUUCAGUGGAGUAUGCCAACUUCAAGUGAGGGGGUUGAUCUGUUCUAAUGGAUAGGGCUAAGUUCUGGCUCUGUUCCUGACCUAUAAAAUUGAUCUUGGAUAAACCAUUAAUUUACCUUAUUACUCAGUUUCCUUACUUCUACAGUGCAAGAAGUUACUUAAAGAAGCGUACUCUGUAACAUAAUUUGAAUUACUUGGUCAAAAUUGACAUUUAUGUAUGUGCUAUUGUUAUUAAUACUAAAAAGCACUUUUAAUACAUGCUGACUCUGAGAUAGAUUUAUACUUUUCAAAUCAAGAUGUUUAUUAGGGCAACAAGCUCUAUAAUAAAGGGAAAUGUAUGUGUUUAGUUCCACAAUGUCUUCUUUUAAAGAACACAUAUGUACUUUCUUAUGAAGUGCCUAAGAAUUACGUAUUAUCCUUCUUCUAUUUUCCCAUCUGAAUAUUGCUUCUGCCAGAGGUAUUAAUUUGCUAUCAUCAGAGGAACUUUAUUUGAACACUAAUAAAAUAUAAAUACCUUAAUGCUAAGUUAUGUAGAUGGAAUAUUUUUCCCACUCCAUGUCCCAAUACCACACCUGCUCAAUAAAAUGACAGGGGAGCAGUAUAUAUCUUUUGUCUGCUGACAGAAAAAUAACAAUAUGAGAAAAAGGACUGACAAUAGCUUUUAUUUUAACCCCAGCACAUCCUCAUGGAGACCUCAAUUAAUAGAAUUAAACUCCCUUCUUGAGAAUCAUCAAUGCACUUUAAAUAUACAUUUACACUGCCAAGUAAACCCUACAAGCAUAAAUGAAAAGUAAUUGCUAGAGUUUCAAAUUCUGAAACAAAAAAGAACAUUUCCCCAAAUCAAUUGCUACAUAUAGGUCUGUAAAUAAAAAUAUCACGAAGGAAAUGUCUUCCUCAGAGUGAUGUAUUCCCAAUGGCAUAGCAUAAUGAGCCUAGGUAUCUACUGACACUGCUAACAAGCUGAUUGACAAUUCAGGUUUAUUAAGCAUGGAUAGCAGGGUUUUUUUUU